CGUGGAUCGAUUUGUUCUGGUUUAUUCCGAUAACGAGCGAGACUCUAGCCUACUAAAUAGUGACAGUCUUACUGUUGGUCUGAUUGCUUCUUAGAGGGAUUUUCGGUGUUUAGCCGCACGAGAUUGAGCAAUAACAGGUCUGUGAUGCCCUUAGAUGUCCGGGGCUGCACGCGCGCUACACUGGCGAAAUCAGCGUGCUGUAUCCAUUCUCGAAAGGGAUUGGUAAACCCAUGAAAAUUUGCCGUGAUAGGGAUUGGAAAUUGCAAUUAUUUUCCG
rnacentral:rRNA from 1 species